GCCCGGAUGGCGGAACUGGUAGACGCAAGGGACUUAAAAUCCCUCGGUCGUAUGACUGUGAGAGUUCGAUUCUCUCUCUGGGCA
rnacentral:tRNA from 1 species